rfam:TPA: Bos taurus chromosome 17, whole genome shotgun sequence.
UCCCUGAUGGUUCAGACAGUAAAGAAUCUGCCUGAAAUGCAGGAGACCCAGGUUCGAUCCCUGGGUUUGGGAA